UGCUUACACAUGCAAGUCGAACGCUGAGCCCUGGUGCUUGCACCGGGGUGGAUGAGUGGCGAACGGGUGAGUAACACGUGAGUAACCUGCCCCCGACUUCGGGAUAAGCCCGGGAAACUGGGUCUAAUACCGGAUAUGACCGAACAAGGCAUCUCUGUUGGUGGAAAGUUUUUUCGGUUGGGGAUGGGCUCGCGGCCUAUCAGUUUGUUGGUGAGGUAAUGGCUCACCAAGACGACGACGGGUAGCCGGCCUGAGAGGGCGACCGGCCACACUGGGACUGAGACACGGCCCAGACUCCUACGGGAGGCAGCAGUGGGGAAUAUUGCACAAUGGGGGAAACCCUGAUGCAGCGACGCAGCGUGCGGGAUGACGGCCUUCGGGUUGUAAACCGCUUUCAGCAGGGAAGAAGCCUUUCGGGGUGACGGUACCUGCAGAAGAAGUACCGGCUAACUACGUGCCAGCAGCCGCGGUAAUACGUAGGGUACAAGCGUUGUCCGGAAUUAUUGGGCGUAAAGAGCUCGUAGGUGGUUGGUCACGUCUGCUGUGGAAACGCAACGCUUAACGUUGCGCGUGCAGUGGGUACGGGCUGACUAGAGUGCAGUAGGGGAGUCUGGAAUUCCUGGUGUAGCGGUGAAAUGCGCAGAUAUCAGGAGGAACACCGGUGGCGAAGGCGGGACUCUGGGCUGUAACUGACACUGAGGA
rnacentral:rRNA from 1 species